rnacentral:rRNA from 1 species
CUUCCCUGCGGCACUGCAUUGGCCAUAAGCCAAUGCAUCACCGAGUUUGCAUCGUUUACAGCUGGGACUACCCGGGUAUCUAAUCCGGUUUGCUCCCCCAGCUUUCAUCCCUCACCGUCGAACGUGUUCUGGCAGACCGCCUUCGCCACUGGUGGUCCUCGGAGGAUCAGAGGAUUUUACCCCUACCCCCCGAAUACCGUCUGCCUCUCCCACUCCCUAGCUCUGUAGUAUCUCCAGCGGCCCAUCUGUUAAGCAGGUGGAUUUAACCGGAGACUUGCAGAGCCGGCUACGGAUGCUUUAGGCCCAAUAAACGUCCUGACCACUCGAGGUGCUGGUAUUA